GUUACUGGUAGAACAUGUAAGUGUAUAAAAGCAACCAAAAAAAUUUUGUGUUCCUUCAAUUCUGAUUUUUGAGGCGAUCCAAAGAAGACGAUGUCGAUGCUCUUGAGAAUUGAGACUGCUUCUGCAAACUCCAAGGUUGUGUAGCAUUGGAGUUUUCUCUAAAGGAAGCCUAUUCAAAUUACCUUGCUGGAACAUGUACCUGCUUGGCAAAACCAUGUCUGUAUUACUAGCAAGCUAAUGCCACUAAGAUGAUGUAAGGCAUAUCUUAAAACAUAUAUAAAUAGAUAUAAAUAAAUAAUAUGUCCCUAUCAAUCUCACACAUUAAUGUUAAUUAGAAAAAUAUAAACAUCAAGAAAGUGACCUCAACUAUGUUAUUUUAGAGGGAGGUAUGCCCUGAAUGUGAUGUGAGCUACCAAGAGAGAUACGUAGAAAGUUAAUUGAUAUAUUCAAAGAUUUAUGGAAGAAAUCAAGAUAAUUCUAGCU